rnacentral:tRNA from 1 species
UAGUAAAGUAAGCUAAUAUAAAGCUGUUGGGUUCAUACCCCGAAAAUAAAUAUUUAAGUAUUUCUUUACUAG